GAGGUCCUGAUCGAUGAGCUGGCGUAUAGGCUUCGAGACGGACUUCAAGGCUGGUUCCCAGAUAGACGGCGUAGUAAAAGGUAACACCGCCUGACCAGGUGGUGGAGUGGUCAGCGCCGGCGAGGAGGACGACGGACAGAGUCGCUUCCGGGUCGCGGCACUUGCGAGGGAGAGACGGUUGGGUCUAGGGGCUGAGGAAGCGGGAAUGGUGACUGGGGGCUCCGGGUCCGGCGUGGGAGAUCCAAGGCUCGUCUCCAGGACGCCAGGAGGGUCAAUGACUGCCGAGGUGGUCCGCACCGGUGGGACGACCGGAGGAGGACGUGGCCUGGUCACUGGUGCCAUAGUGGACUGUGGUCGUCUGGGAAGCGGUGGAAAGGCCCCAAGGUCCGAGAGGAGCAGUGGAGUGGC